rnacentral:tRNA from 1 species
AAUUUAUAAGUUUUUACGUUUAAUUUCCAAUUAAAAUAAGA